GAGCGGUAAGGCCUUUCGGGGUACACGAGCGGCGAACGGGUGAGUAACACGUGGGUGAUCUGCCCUGCACUUCGGGAUAAGCCUGGGAAACUGGGUCUAAUACCGGAUAUGACCUCMKRUUGCAUGACUUGGGGUGGAAAGAUUUAUCGGUGCAGGAUGGGCCCGCGGCCUAUCAGCUUGUUGGUGGGGUAAUGGCCUACCAAGGCGACGACGGGUAGCCGACCUGAGAGGGUGACCGGCCACACUGGGACUGAGACACGGCCCAGACUCCUACGGGAGGCAGCAGUGGGGAAUAUUGCACAAUGGGCGAAAGCCUGAUGCAGCGACGCCGCGUGAGGGAUGACGGCCUUCGGGUUGUAAACCUCUUUCAGCAGGGACGAAGCGCAAGUGACGGUACCUGCAGAAGAAGCACCGGCUAACUACGUGCCAGCAGCCGCGGUAAUACGUAGGGUGCAAGCGUUGUCCGGAAUUACUGGGCGUAAAGAGUUCGUAGGCGGUUUGUCGCGUCGUUUGUGAAAACCAGCAGCUCAACUGCUGGCUUGCAGGCGAUACGGGCAGACUUGAGUACUGCAGGGGAGACUGGAAUUCCUGGUGUAGCGGUGAAAUGCGCAGAUAUCAGGAGGAA
rnacentral:rRNA from 1 species